UAGCCAAUGCAUUAAUAUGAUGCAAUAUCGAAGUCGAAUAAAAUUCUGGGUAGACUAUGAUAAUGACAUUAUCUAUCUAGAUGUCUUGACCAAAAUACGUGCCAGCAGUCGCGGUAAGACGUUAAAGACAAGUGUUAUUCAUGUUUAAUCGGUUUAAAGAGUCCCAAGACUGUUAAUAAAGCCUACUGGGGACACAUUAACUAGAGUUAUAUGAAAGGGGGCUGUGAGGUACUGUCGGGUGGAGAGAUAAAAUUCCAUUAUACAGAUGAUGGCACCAACAAAUGCGAAGGCAUCCUCUUAUGUAAUAACUGACGUUUUCAGACGAAGGCUUAGGGAAGAAAAAUGGAUUAGAUACCCUCGUAUUCUAAGCAGAAAAUGAUGAAUGUCAUAGGUUGAAGAUAAAUAAUAUUUAUUUUGGUCUAUAAAUGAAAGUGUAAGCAUUCCACCUCAAGAGUAAUUUGGCAACAUUGGAACUGAAAUCAUUAGGCCGUUUUUGAAACCAGUAGUGAAGUAUGUUGUUUAAUUUGAUAACCCGCACAAAACCUUACCACUAUUUGCAUAAAUAUUUAUGUAUAUAUUUACAAGUGUUGCACGGCUGUCUUCAGUUGAUGUCGUGAGGCUAGGUUACUCCUAACAAUCAACGCAAACCCUUACUUUAUUUUUAUAUAAAGUUGUUCACCUGUCAUGGGAGAUGCUAAUAGGGA
rnacentral:rRNA from 1 species